GUUAAGCGACUAAGCGUACACGGUGGAUGCCCUGGCAGUCAGAGGCGAUGAAGGACGUGCUAAUCUGCGAUAAGCGUCGGUAAGGUGAUAUGAACCGUUAUAACCGGCGAUUUCCGAAUGGGGAAACCCAGUGUGUUUCGACACACUAUCAUUAACUGAAUCCAUAGGUUAAUGAGGCGAACCGGGGGAACUGAAACAUCUAAGUACCCCGAGGAAAAGAAAUCAACCGAGAUUCCCCCAGUAGCGGCGAGCGAACGGGGAGCAGCCCAGAGCCUGAAUCAGUGUGUGUGUUAGUGGAAGCGUCUGGAAAGGCGCGCGAUACAGGGUGACAGCCCCGUACACAAAAAUGCACAUGCUGUGAGCUCGAUGAGUAGGGCGGGACACGUGGUAUCCUGUCUGAAUAUGGGGGGACCAUCCUCCAAGGCUAAAUACUCCUGACUGACCGAUAGUGAACCAGUACCGUGAGGGAAAGGCGAAAAGAACCCCGGCGAGGGGAGUGAAAAAGAACCUGAAACCGUGUACGUACAAGCAGUGGGAGCCUCUUUUAUGGGGUGACUGCGUACCUUUUGUAUAAUGGGUCAGCGACUUAUAUUCUGUAGCAAGGUUAACCGAAUAGGGGAGCCGAAGGGAAACCGAGUCUUAACUGGGCGUUAAGUUGCAGGGUAUAGACCCGAAACCCGGUGAUCUAGCCAUGGGCAGGUUGAAGGUUGGGUAACACUAACUGGAGGACCGAACCGACUAAUGUUGAAAAAUUAGCGGAUGACUUGUGGCUGGGGGUGAAAGGCCAAUCAAACCGGGAGAUAGCUGGUUCUCCCCGAAAGCUAUUUAGGUAGCGCCUCGUGAAUUCAUCUCCGGGGGUAGAGCACUGUUUCGGCAAGGGGGUCAUCCCGACUUACCAACCCGAUGCAAACUGCGAAUACCGGAGAAUGUUAUCACGGGAGACACACGGCGGGUGCUAACGUCCGUCGUGAAGAGGGAAACAACCCAGACCGCCAGCUAAGGUCCCAAAGUCAUGGUUAAGUGGGAAACGAUGUGGGAAGGCCCAGACAGCCAGGAUGUUGGCUUAGAAGCAGCCAUCAUUUAAAGAAAGCGUAAUAGCUCACUGGUCGAGUCGGCCUGCGCGGAAGAUGUAACGGGGCUAAACCAUGCACCGAAGCUGCGGCAGCGACGCUUAUGCGUUGUUGGGUAGGGGAGCGUUCUGUAAGCCUGUGAAGGUGUGCUGUGAGGCAUGCUGGAGGUAUCAGAAGUGCGAAUGCUGACAUAAGUAACGAUAAAGCGGGUGAAAAGCCCGCUCGCCGGAAGACCAAGGGUUCCUGUCCAACGUUAAUCGGGGCAGGGUGAGUCGACCCCUAAGGCGAGGCCGAAAGGCGUAGUCGAUGGGAAACAGGUUAAUAUUCCUGUACUUGGUGUUACUGCGAAGGGGGGACGGAGAAGGCUAUGUUGGCCGGGCGACGGUUGUCCCGGUUUAAGCGUGUAGGCUGGUUUUCCAGGCAAAUCCGGAAAAUCAAGGCUGAGGCGUGAUGACGAGGCACUACGGUGCUGAAGCAACAAAUGCCCUGCUUCCAGGAAAAGCCUCUAAGCAUCAGGUAACAUCAAAUCGUACCCCAAACCGACACAGGUGGUCAGGUAGAGAAUACCAAGGCGCUUGAGAGAACUCGGGUGAAGGAACUAGGCAAAAUGGUGCCGUAACUUCGGGAGAAGGCACGCUGAUAUGUAGGUGAAGCGACUUGCUCGUGGAGCUGAAAUCAGUCGAAGAUACCAGCUGGCUGCAACUGUUUAUUAAAAACACAGCACUGUGCAAACACGAAAGUGGACGUAUACGGUGUGACGCCUGCCCGGUGCCGGAAGGUUAAUUGAUGGGGUCAGCGCAAGCGAAGCUCUUGAUCGAAGCCCCGGUAAACGGCGGCCGUAACUAUAACGGUCCUAAGGUAGCGAAAUUCCUUGUCGGGUAAGUUCCGACCUGCACGAAUGGCGUAAUGAUGGCCAGGCUGUCUCCACCCGAGACUCAGUGAAAUUGAACUCGCUGUGAAGAUGCAGUGUACCCGCGGCAAGACGGAAAGACCCCGUGAACCUUUACUAUAGCUUGACACUGAACAUUGAGCCUUGAUGUGUAGGAUAGGUGGGAGGCUUUGAAGUGUGGACGCCAGUCUGCAUGGAGCCGACCUUGAAAUACCACCCUUUAAUGUUUGAUGUUCUAACGUUGACCCGUAAUCCGGGUUGCGGACAGUGUCUGGUGGGUAGUUUGACUGGGGCGGUCUCCUCCUAAAGAGUAACGGAGGAGCACGAAGGUUGGCUAAUCCUGGUCGGACAUCAGGAGGUUAGUGCAAUGGCAUAAGCCAGCUUGACUGCGAGCGUGACGGCGCGAGCAGGUGCGAAAGCAGGUCAUAGUGAUCCGGUGGUUCUGAAUGGAAGGGCCAUCGCUCAACGGAUAAAAGGUACUCCGGGGAUAACAGGCUGAUACCGCCCAAGAGUUCAUAUCGACGGCGGUGUUUGGCACCUCGAUGUCGGCUCAUCACAUCCUGGGGCUGAAGUAGGUCCCAAGGGUAUGGCUGUUCGCCAUUUAAAGUGGUACGCGAGCUGGGUUUAGAACGUCGUGAGACAGUUCGGUCCCUAUCUGCCGUGGGCGCUGGAGAACUGAGGGGGGCUGCUCCUAGUACGAGAGGACCGGAGUGGACGCAUCACUGGUGUUCGGGUUGUCAUGCCAAUGGCACUGCCCGGUAGCUAAAUGCGGAAGAGAUAAGUGCUGAAAGCAUCUAAGCACGAAACUUGCCCCGAGAUGAGUUCUCCCUGACUCCUUGAG
rnacentral:rRNA from 1 species